UUUUGUUUUUUUGUUUUUUACCUAAACGUUUUUAUUUCGUCGUGCGCGGCUGCAUCUCUAAGCGGUAGGAACCUCUCACACACAAAGCCAGCGCGUUUCAGUCUGCAGAUGCUGGAGGAGGGAUCUGACUGGUGCACAUUUUUUUUGGACGCAUGUGAAACGGCGCAGUCCGUGAUGAUGAAGAUGAUGCUGGCCGCAGCUCUGCAGACAACCGCGGCAGCUGAGUGAGCCGUGAGGUUGCUGUCCAGGGUGCUGAGGAGUCGCCGCCAUCCCCCCUCCCCUCCCCUCCCGUCCUGCCCGUUCAGACUGCACGCGUGAACAGACGUGGAUGCCGAGCAGCGUAACACGGCCCGAGUAAAUAAAUGGGACCGCACGUCGUCCGAGCGUUUGAGAGAUCAUGGAGAGAUUUUUCCUGCUCGUCCUCAGCGGCUGCCUCGGCGUCUCUCGAGUCACGGCGGAUAGCCUGUCGCCUCCCGUCAAUGUGACCAUCAAAGAGGUGAAAGCAAACUCUGCUGUGGUGUCAUGGGACAUCCCCGAGGGAGACCCCGUCAUUGGCUUCGCCAUCACACAGCAGAAGAAAGAUGUGCGCAUGCUGCGGUUCAUCCAGGAAGUCAACACCACCACGCGCUCCUGUGCAUUAUGGGACUUGGAAGAGGAGACAGACUACAUUGUGCACGUCCAGUCCGUCAGCAUGUCCGGGACGAGCCCGCUGAGCGAACCGCUGCGCUUCCGAACCCCAAAGGAGGCCGAGACACAGGCCUCUAAGAACGAAGUGACCAUGGAGGAGGUGGGUCAGGCGACUCAGCUGAGGGCUGGAGAGCUCAUCAUCAUCGUGGUCGUACUCAUCAUGUGGGCAGGUGUGAUUGCCCUCUUCUGUCGUCAAUAUGACAUAAUCAAAGACAACGAGCCCAACAACAACAAGGACAAAGCCAAAAACUCCUCGGAGUGCAGUACUCCUGAACACCCGACGGGGGGGCUGCUGCGCAGUAAGGUAUAACCCACCCCUCUGCUCCUUCUCCUCUCCCUGGGUGCCUCCCCUCUCAGCGACGCUGGCCAGUUCCCCAAGAACAACAACAACAGGUUGCCAUCUGUCAACAUCAUUGAGGUGUGAUGAGUCUUUUUCUUUACUCGGAAGACUUCAUGCAAACAACAAGCCCCCCUUAGGUCUAUCAGCUGUCAGGAUGACGCUGGGACAGAGGGACUCUGGGCAUGCAGGCGCCGCUUUCUCUUCUUAAACACCGGUUCUGGUGUGGAGGUGAAGCUGCAGGGACUCCAGAGGACGUGGCAGAAUGAGGCUGAGUUUGGCCUCAUUUCCUAGCAGAGCAGAAAGACUGCAGGAAGAGUUCAGCAGCAGGUCUGUGCUCAGUGACAGUACAUUGGGGUCACGGUUAUUAGUGUUGUGGAGAGACUGCAGACGAACCAACCCCAGGGACCAAGGCUGAUCAAACAGAGCCAGAAACUGUUACAGGAAGAAUUUGUACUUAACUUUUCUGGGUGGUACUUUAAGCUUCUUUUAACGCUUAUUUCCUCAUGGGCUUACACAGUACAUUUGAUGUUUUGGUAUCUGUUUGGGCUUUUUCAGUAACUCCCCAAGUGCAGAGACUCUUUGCUGUUCUGGUACAUUUGUAUUCCCCCCUCAGGGAAUCCAGACUCCACCCGGGUAACAAAAGAGCCAUUUCCAGUACAGGCUGCAAUGUCACCAGAGCAGCUUUAGAGGGAUCAGUCGGCUAAAAUCAUUCACUGUCAUUAACUCAUACAUAUGGCAUAAUUCUUCAAGUCUGGCCUGUAAUUUCUCUCGUCUUUUUUUAUUAUAGACUUCUAAAAUGUAACAUUCCUCUCCCUCAACGAGCCCUUUAGUACCUCCUGGUGUCUUUCUUUUUGAGCGUGAUGGAUUUCACGUCAUUUUGGUGAGCAGCAGAACUCCCCUAAUGGAGUUCAUUCAUCUAAUUAAUUAACUAUAAAUGGGGCUGGACUCUACGGACGUCUGAGGAGAAGAGAUCCCUUCAAUCAGCAAUAACAGCCCCUCAGAGGAAACGAAGGAAGUCAUGACUUGAACUCUGGAUCCUCUGACAAAGGAAAACUGUCAGCAUGUCAUGGAUGAACAAACUGGAUGUUCAAGUAUGCUGGAACAACCCUUGGGUAUCAUUUUUAAGAGAUCCUCAAAAAAGCCUUUUCAGCUCUGUUGAAAAAAAUAAAUAAAUAAAAAUAUUUCUCUUGGCAAGCAUGGAAAAAAAAAAUAUUUUUUAAAUCGGGCCCAACUGGGGAACCCUGAGACUUCUUUACGGCGUCCUGAGCAGAUGUCGAGACAGAAGGGCUUCUUUCAAGACUUUUUGAAUUAUUAUUUCAAACGUGCUUAAAGUCCAUGGUGAUGAGAAUAGCUAUUGUGGUAAGUGCAUACAUGAUGUUUUUGAGGGCUGAUUUACACUGAGUAGUACUGCCUUAACAAUAAUUGUAUCCCAUAACUUAUAAGAUGUUUGGCUUUGUAUCUCACUGUUGUGGCAUUAUAUUUAUCUUUCACCCAGCAUUUAAAUGUUCGUGCAAAAGUGAAGGGAAAAAUAACAUGUGGUUUGGAGGAAUUGGCAAGUAUCUGAUAUGUAAAUACAUUUUAAACGUCUUAUUUAGAACAGUCAGUCUGGAGAGGUUUGUGGAAUAAGGUUGAUGUAAAUGUCUGAAUUUGUAGGGAAGCUAUAGGAGAUCACAUUUUUGUCAAAACUGUUUAGUUUUAUGAAAAGUAUUGUUAAAAAAGACUUCAACUAUUCUUAAGAAUUUUUAUUAUGUCAUAAUGCCUUUUAUGUUCAAAAGGAGGAGUUGGUAUGAGCAAGUACUGAAAAAGAAAAUCCUCUGGCUUGUAGAAAUCAGAAAAUGGGUUGCAAAUAGCGCAAAACAUGACAAAACGCCAUCGCCCCUUCAGUCUGGAGCACAAAGAGAAAGGAGGAGGAAAAUGGAGAUCAGUGAAGGUGACACUGGAGUAGAGUGGACAGAACGAUGACUAAUUUAAUGGCAGGCUUUUAUCGCCAUUAUCUGGCUCUCACUCUUUGGCACAGCUCUGAGGAAAAAAAAGGAGAAAGAGUUUAAGACCGUGCUCCUCCAGUGAGCAGAGGCCAAUAUCAGAGUGUGAUUUUAAAGUCAGGCUCGUUGGGACUUUCCAUCUAAUUAAACUCAUUUCGCGUUUCCCAAACUUCUCAGUGCUCUGCAGCCGCAUCAGCACUUCACAGCAAACUUAACACGACUCAGUAACAGACACUCGGAUGUUUACUUUGACUUAUUUUCCAGCAUUAUUUAUUAUUAUGACCAAUAUACCACAACUACUUACAGAAAGUCUCAACUGUUUUAAAGGAGCACAUUUUAUAUAAAUGCGGUGAACUGCAGUGUAUAUCUCAACCUUUUGUGUAAAUAUUCAAAUUUUAUUGACUGAAUUUGACGAAUGUUGUAAGAAAUGCUUUUUCGAAAUUGUCCAACUUUUUUUUAAGACGAAACUGUUACACCAUCCUAUUUUUUAAGACAAACUUCCUUAAAUAUAGAAAAAUAAAAUCCAUUUAAUUUUCUGUCAAUCCUGAUGAAUCAUCAUGACUUAAUUCAAAACAUUUUUUUCUUUCUUCAUGUUCAGAUGCAUUUUUCCAGACUCAAGACUAAAGUUAUUCACUUUUACGCCAGUGGACAAACUAUAUUGAAGAGGAAAUGACAAAAGAUGGAAACAAGGGCAAAUUUAUUUAUGGUGGGGAAAAUGGGUUCUACUGAACUUUGAAUGCCGGUUGUAAGUCUUUAUUUACAAAUAUUUUUCAAUUUUACUUUAAAUUUUUCUUGUUGAACCUGGGAUAUUCCUCAAAUAAAUUUCAAAAUGAAUGGAUUCAAAAUGAAAUUUUCAUAAAGUCAAUUUGUAAAGUCGAACCACUAAUGUUCCCUCAUGAGUUUAAGCAGUGUCUAGAAACAUGAAAUUAAUAGAAAUGGGAAAACAGACGGACUGGGGGGUGAAAGCAACUUUUAAAGGAGAUGGGGAAUGGUCGGAAAAUCCAGACUUUUCUACACUCUGGAAAAUCCAGACUUGCAUUUCUACAAUUUUCAGCACUUUUAUCCUAAAUUUAAGGCACAAAUGCAAAGGUUCAUGACGAGUUUAAUGGCAAGUAUUUCUUCAGCAAGGAAGAUUUAACUUUAAAACGAGCAAAAAAAGACAAAAGGUGAGAGGACAAAUUGUGGAGAAAUGCAUGAAUAGGCAGACAAGACUAUACAUUAAAUCUUAAAAUGACAAAGUUUCCAGAUGGUGGAGGAAACUUUCUGAAAUGAAUCAUGGAAACAUACAAAGAAACAUCCCGACUCAGAGGGGCAAUGGGUUGGCAAAAAUAAUUCUGUCAUUAACGUUAUGAGUCCCGUUCGGGGCUUUUCUUUCCCUAAUGGUAACUUUUCACCAUUGUUAGCAUGCCUGUUUGAAACGUACUAUAUUAGACACAAUGCUUGUGAACUGACACUACUAAAUUUGGAUGUCAGCUUUGACCCACUGAUCUUACUAACCUGGAAAUUUAAGGCAAAAAACCCCCACAUAAUUCUAGUUGAAUCAAACUAUUUUACCGCUUUACUGAUUUGUUUUCAUUUGUGGGCCGCCCCAUAAUUAACUCAAAAGAUCUUCCAUUUUCAAGCAGAUUGUGAGUAUGUCAAGAAGUUAUAGCGCACACAUUUCUGUAAGAACUGUAAGAAAACAACAUUCCAACCAAGCCCUUCGGGGGUCAAACCACAGAAGGUUUAGUUUCAGUGUGGCAUUUGAUAAGUGUACUGGACUACGGUAUAUUUAAAAUGUGUUUGGUAACAGGAGAAGACUGUAACGAAAAACCUUGUCAAAAAUAACAGUGGAUUUUGUCCCAUGGGUUGUGUUUGGUUUUUUAAACCCAGGAAUGAGAAUCAAAAGCAUGUUUUAGAAAAAAAAUU